rnacentral:lncRNA from 1 species
UUGAACUUACGAAAGAUAAAAACGGGAAAAAGAAACUAGUAGUAAGUUGAAACAUAUACAGACUCAAAUUGAAGGUUAUAAUUCCAAAACGGCAGUCCCGUUUCUGGAUUCUAACCAUGUGUAGGAAGAGAGAGAGAAAGACACGCUUGGAGAGGCUCGAAUGCGUGCAGCAAUCGGUACUUUAGGAUGUACACUUAUAACAUAACAAUACUCAUUCAUCCACGCACUCUCUGAAAUGGUCCUGAGGGGACGGCGAACCGUGCGGAGAAAGAGCGUGACAGGUUCUCCGGCUCGACGGACGCCGAUCCUUCAUCAAAGUUCUGGGCAUAUGUGCAGGGAUCGUAAGGAACCUGCAUCGGGGCCGCCGAGUUAAAGAUCCUCCGUUUCUCCUUGAUGAUCCUCCGCCACCAACCCCGCCACCUCGUGCCGGUGGCCCGGGCCGAUGGGUACUCCAACUCAUCGUCGACCUCCCGGCUGAACCCGGAGCCCCACCGGCGGCCGUUGCCAACGUAACAGGACCUCUGCCUCUCGAGCUCUGCUCUGUAGUCCAUGGCCCUCAGCCCCUGCAAGGCUGGGCUCCAUGGGGUUAUGUCCGCAUUUAUAAGCAGGGUGUGGC